UCGAGGGGCAUCGCGGGUAGCAAUACCUGGCGGCGACCGGCGCACGUGUGAGUAACACGUAUGCAACCUACCUCAAACCGGGGAAUAACCCGAAGAAAUUCGGACUAAUACCCCAUAGCGCCCAGGAGCGGCAUCGCUUCUGAGCUAAAGAUUUAUCAGUUUGAGCUGGGCAUGCGUCCUAUUAGCUAGUUGGCGGGGUAACGGCCCACCAAGGCGACGAUAGGUAGGGGUUCUGAGAGGAAGGUCCCCCACACUGGUACUGAGACACGGACCAGACUCCUACGGGAGGCAGCAGUGAGGAAUAUUGGUCAAUGGGCGCAAGCCUGAACCAGCCAUGCCGCGUGCAGGAUGACAGCCCUAUGGGUUGUAAACUGCUUUUAUACGGGAGCAAACCCACCCCUGCGGAGGUGGUUGAGAGUACCGUAGGAAUAAGGAUCGGCUAACUCCGUGCCAGCAGCCGCGGUAAUACGGAGGAUCCGAGCGUUAUCCGGAUUUAUUGGGUUUAAAGGGUGCGCAGGCGGCCCGGUAAGUCAGCGGUGAAAAGGUGCAGCUCAACUGUACCCGUGCCGUUGAUACUGUCGGGCUUGAAUGUGGGUGAAGCUGGCGGAAUGUGCAGUGUAGCGGUGAAAUGCAUAGAUAUUGCACAGAA
rnacentral:rRNA from 1 species